rnacentral:rRNA from 1 species
UACGAAGGGGGCUAGCGUUGCUCGGAAUCACUGGGCGUAAAGCGCACGUAGGCGGACUCUUAAGUCGGUGGUGAAAUCCUGGAGCUCAACUCCAGAACUGCCUUCGAUACUGAGAGUCUCGAGUCCGAGAGAGGUGAGUGGAACUGCGAGUGUAGAGGUGAAAUUCGUAGAUAUUCGCAAGAACACCAGUGGCGAAGGCGGCUCACUGGCUCGGUACUGACGCUGAGAAGCGAAAGCAUGGGGAGCGAACAGG